rnacentral:lncRNA from 1 species
AGCCAAAAUCCUAAACCUUCUUUGAUGACCCCCUUCUCGUUUUUUGUUUCGCAUUAUUCUUUGACCAUCGUAUUUAUCGUCUCUUUCUGGUAUAUGUUAGCCGAAAAAUAAUCCUAACCAUGAAGGAGAACCAACAGAGCCGCUGCAUUCGGAGACCUCAUCGCUGGUAGGUUUCAGUUUUUUGAUUUUUUUAGCAAACCGAGGUUUUCUAACGUGUUUUUUCGUAGGGAUAUAUAUAAAGCCAACCAAAACUGACCAAAAUUGGCCAAACCGAGGCAAAUUGCUGCCGUGGGCGGUGGAGUCGACGCCGUGCCGAAUCUCUAAAAUUGGUCGAAAAAAGUUUUCAACAUCGAUUUUAAAUUUUUUGGGGUAUUUUUGGAUACAUGACGAGUAUUUUAAUUUUCGCAGAAAAAAUUCAGAAAACUUGGGUUCCGUUAGGAAGUGUAGUAGAUAGUACGACAUUUCAAAAUACCGAAUCGAGUAACAAUCUCUCACCUUAUUACUUGUUAUGAUAAUUUGAGGCUUAAUAAUCAAAUAUCCUAUGUUUUGUGGAAAAAAAUAGAAAAUUCCUAAAAAUAAUUACAGAUCACUAGUGUAGCUGAAAACUGGUUAAUUUACGAUGAUCUUAUAUCGUAUGUGUUGCCUAUUUAUUUUCCUAUACCGCCUACAUUGCUUAUUAAUCCAUCAUGUGAUUAAAAUUAUUAUUUUAAUUGUUUUCUCAUUUAUUGAUUGUUUGAUCGUGAUUUUUACCUGAUUGACUGAUUUGAAAUAAAAGUCACAAUUAAGUUUCUUAAUUGUUGAUGUAUGACAUUGUAUUGUUUACUUAAAUGCUGUUUGAUUGAUCUGUGAAUAUAAAAUAAGAUAUUGGUAUGCGAUUGGUGAUUGUUUUGUUGAUGGAGAUCUAUAUGUGAAAGGCUUAUUGGGUACCUGGGAAAGAGCAGACGAGCUUGGUACAUGAAGAAUCCCUAUUGUAGACAUUAUCUCAGUCGCACAGG